AGUGAACGCUGGCGGUAGGCCUAACACAUGCAAGUCGAACGGCAGCACAGUAAGAGCUUGCUCUUACGGGUGGCGAGUGGCGGACGGGUGAGGAAUACAUCGGAAUCUACUUUUUCGUGGGGGAUAACGUAGGGAAACUUACGCUAAUACCGCAUACGACCUACGGGUGAAAGCAGGGGAUCUUCGGACCUUGCGCGAUUGAAUGAGCCGAUGUCGGAUUAGCUAGUUGGCGGGGUAAAGGCCCACCAAGGCGACGAUCCGUAGCUGGUCUGAGAGGAUGAGCAGCCACACUGGAACUGAGACACGGUCCAGACUCCUACGGGAGGCAGCAGUGGGGAAUAUUGGACAAUGGGCGCAAGCCUGAUCCAGCCAUACCGCGUGGGUGAAGAAGGCCUUCGGGUGGUAAAGCCCUUUUGUUGGGAAAGAAAAGCAGCAGGUUAAUACCCCGCUGUUCUGACGGUACCCAAAGAAUAAGCACCGGCUAACUUCGUG
rnacentral:rRNA from 1 species